rnacentral:rRNA from 1 species
CCUACGGGGGGCAGCAGUGGGGGAUAUUGCACAAUGGGGGGAACCCUGAUGCAGCGACGCCGCGUGGGUGAAGAAGCGCCUCGGCGCGUAAAGCCCUGUCAGCAGGGAAGAAAAUGACGGUACCUGACGAAGAAGCCCCGGCUAACUACGUGCCAGCAGCCGCGGUAAUACGUAGGGGGCAAGCGUUAUACGGAUUUACUGGGUGUAAAGGGGGCGCAGACGGCGAUGCAAGCCAGGAGGGAAAGCCCGGGGCCCAACCCCGGGACUGCUCUUGGAACUGCGUGGCUGGAGUGCAGGAGGGGCAGGCGGAAUUCCUGGUGUAGCGGUGAAAUGCGUAGAUAUCAGGAGGAACACCGGUGGCGAAGGCGGCCUGCUGGACUGCAACUGACGUUGAGGCCCGAAAGCGUGGGGAGCAAACAGGAUUAGAUACCCCUGUAGUC